GUUACAGCAGCCGCGGUAAGACGAACCGUGCGAACGUUGUUCGGAAUCACUGGGCUUAAAGGGCGCGUAGGCGGGUUUCCAAGUCUGUGGUGAAAGCCUCCAGCUUAACUGGAGAAGUGCCGUGGAUACUGGAAGUCUUGAGGAGGGUAGGGGCAUCUGGAACUGCCGGUGGAGCGGUGAAAUGCGUUGAUAUCGGCAGGAACUCCGGUGGCGAAAGCGAGGUGCUGGACCCUUUCUGACGCUGAGUGCGCGAAAGCAAGGGGAGCAAACGGGAUUAGAUACCCGCGUAGUCC
rnacentral:rRNA from 1 species